GACGAACGCUGGCGGCGCGCCUAACACAUGCAAGUCGAACGGCAGCACAGGGAGCUUGCUCCCGGGUGGCGAGUGGCGCACGGGUGAGUAAUACAUCGGAACGUGUCCUUUUGUGGGGGAUAACUACUCGAAAGAGUAGCUAAUACCGCAUAAUACCUGAGGGUGAAAGCGGGGGACUUUAGGGCCUCGCGCAGUUGGAGCGGCCGAUGACUGAUUAGCUAGUUGGUGGGGUAAAGGCCUACCAAGGCGACGAUCAGUAGCUGGUCUGAGAGGACGACCAGCCACAUUGGGACUGAGACACGGCCCAA
rnacentral:rRNA from 1 species